GAUGAACGCUGGCGGCGUGCCUAAUACAUGCAAGUCGAGCGAACGGACGAGAAGCUUGCUUCUCUGAUGUUAGCGGCGGACGGGUGAGUAACACGUGGAUAACCUACCUAUAAGACUGGGAUAACUUCGGGAAACCGGAGCUAAUACCGGAUAAUAUUUUGAACCGCAUGGUUCAAUAGUGAAAGACGGUCUUGCUGUCACUUAUAGAUGGAUCCUCGCUGCAUUAGCUAGUUGGUAAGGUAACGGCUUACCAAGGCAACGAUGCAUAGCCGACCUGAGAGGGUGAUCGGCCACACUGGAACUGAGACACGGUCCAGACUCCUACGGGAGGCAGCAGUAGGGAAUCUUCCGCAAUGGGCGAAAGCCUGACGGAGCAACGCCGCGUGAGUGAUGAAGGUCUUCGGAUCGUAAAACUCUGUUAUUAGGGAAGAACAUAUGUGUAAGUAACUGUGCACAUCUUGACGGUACCUAAUCAGAAAGCCACGGCUAACUACGUG
rnacentral:rRNA from 1 species